AUACUUGUUUCCAAACCUAUCAACACGUAAAGGAGGAAAACCUAAAAACAUCUCCGACGCCAUCCACUCCUCCACCUCCGCCCCCUCCCCUCGCCCGUCUCCGCAACCAUCUCGCCUGCAUUCGCCAGCAGCCUCGCCGACCUGAACUCCCUCCCCCAUCGGCCCCCCUCCAGCUUCUCCAGGCAGCCUGCGAUCGCGUACCCUCCGGAACAGCGUCCCCUCGAUGGGGAACUUUGUCCGGUUAUUCUGCCGUGUCUAUUGUGGCCGUGGUCUCUGCCGUCAUCCCCAUUGCCUCUGCCCUUGUUUAUGUUGUCGCCCUCGUCGCUGAUGUCCGUGUUGUUACCUCCAUCCUCGAUCAACUCUGUUGACUCUGUGAAGUACGAGGAUUGCUAGAUGUCUUCGAUGAGAGAUUUUGGCUAUUGGUAAAAAGAAUCCACUCAAAGUUCUUGAUCUGUCUCAUAACACUUGAGACAUGGUUGUUAUGAGUUAUACGUGGAAGAAAGAAGUAAAUUGAAGAAUUAUUUUUCCGAUACAUCUUCUAGAUGUUGUCUUACCACUAACAUAUGCUGUGUCUCUCACUUAUCAUAUCGUAGAUGCUGAUUGGAAGCAGCAGUUAAAAAGUCAGAUCUCUAGUCACUUUGCUGAGAGGUUAUAGGAAAAACAGUUGAGAAGUGCUUAAUUGGUCGGGGAUUCAGAGGGUGUUUUUCAAUCAUCGCAGAUAAUGCGAGCUCAAAUAUCUUGGGAUUCAAUAUGUGAAAAUAGAGACUUAAAACUCUUGAAACUCUCUAGUAUUGAGAGGUGAGUUACCCCACUUGAGGUGUUGUGCUCAUGUAUUGAGUUUGAUUGUAAGAGAAGAGAUGAAAGAUAAAAAUGAUUCCAUGGUUAGAACAUUGUGUGGUGUGUGAGGUCUUCUCAUGCUCGGAUGAGAUGGCUCAGGAGUUGCAUUGAGCUAGAGAAUGUUGAGUACAAGAGAUUUGUAUGUUUGGAUAUUGAGACUGUCGGAACUCAACAUAUAUGAUGUUGGAGCCAGAUUUGGCAUAUUGGAAAUUCAAGAUAGCAAACUUGCAGACCUUUCCAAGGCAAAAGUUAUGUCACUAGUAAUGAUUGCGUGUCUAUGGGAUUGAUGAUUGAUGGACAUUGUGAGAUUGAGGAAUAAAGAAUGCACGAAAUGGCCAAGAGAAUGAAGACCAAAUUCAAUAAGUAUUUUGGUAAUGUGAACAACAUUAAUCUUACUUUAUUCAUUGCUUGUGUACUUGACCCUCGACAAAGUGGAAAUAUGUAAGAUGAUUGAUGUGAAAGUAAGCAAGCAGAGACAUUAGGAGAUAAAAGUAACAUCUCUGAUGUUAUUGUUCAAGCAAUACCGCACCGGUAUGGUAUAUGCCCCCAAAGCAACAAAUAAGGGGUUGAGGUCAAAAAGUACAAGGAUUAUAAGCCUAUCAAAGUUUCUUGUAGUUGGUGAUGACAUUGUGAUGGCAAAGUACUGUAUCCAAAUGGGACGACAAAGUUUGGAAAAAAAAUCUGAAUUUGAUAAUUGUUCAAAGAAAGCAUGAGAAGUUAUAGGCCCAACUUUGAUAUCUUAAAUUAGUGGAAAGUGAAUGCUUCGAGAUAUCCUAUUCUCUCUUUCACUGCUCGAGACAUAUUGGAUGUGCCCGUCAACUGUAGCAUCAGAGACCACAUUAGUACAAGAGGUUUUUAUGUAGCUCCUUGAGCCUGAGUGUGGUAGAACUCUAUAUGUGUUCGAGAUUAUAUAUAAUAUAUGCCAUUCACUUUCAAUUGAGGAUGACUUGGAAGAACUUGAAAAUUUCGAAUCAGAGUUCUCAACUCCAAUCAUGGAGCCAAACUCGAUGGUAGUUUCUCUUGAUGACUAAUGAAGUUGCGGAUUGGUACAUUUAAUCCCAUUUCUUAUUUUUAUUAUGAAUUUAGUUCUUGGUUCAAGGUAAACUGGCGGACUAUGGUCAUUUGCGUUCAUUAGUAUAUCUGUAUCACCAUUUAUUGUCGGUUAUCUUCGAUGGUUUGCACGUGUUUCCACAGCGGGUUAAAGACUUGCUCGAUGAACACUGGCUCUUUAGAUACUUGGAACCAGAAAACUGAAAAGGAAGAGCUUAAACAGAGAAUCAAAUCCCAUUUCUCAUUAAAACAAAAUCCCAGGCGGUGCGACCAAAAUGUCUGGAGCAAUGGAAGAGAAGUAGGAUAUCUUGAAGAAUUUACUUUCCAACCGAUUCAACAUAUCAAAGUCAAGGCUGUGAAGUUCACAUGCAUCAUCUAAAUACUAUCCAAUUCAGAUUUUUCUAUCCGAUUGUGUUGUCCCAUUUGGCAAAGGCACUUCGCAGUCACAAUGCCAGUACCAACUAGAGGAGUCUUUGACACGCAUAUCAUCCUCAUACCUUUUUACCUCAACCCUCACUUGUUGCUUCGAAGGCACGCCAAUUUGGUAUUGCUCAAUUGGCAACGUUGGAGAUGUUGUUUUAUCUUGUAAUGUUUCUAUCAGCUAACUUUCAUAAACAUCAUUGAUUAAAUGUCUCGCAUAUUCCCACUUAUGUUGAGGGUCAAUUAUGGAAGCAAUGAACAGAGUAAGAUUGAUGUUGUACAUUGCUAAAAUACUUGCUGUAACUGAAUCUGGUCUUCGUUA